GCCCUUGUAGUGUAGUCUGGCCAAUCAUGCUGCCCUCUCGAGGCGGCGACUCGGGUUCGAAUCCCGGCGGGGGCA
rnacentral:tRNA from 1 species